ACAAAGAUCUACGAAAUAGCAGGUAGAUUACUUUCCAAGAAAGGGCAAAGAAGUCAAAAAAGGACUGCACCAGACAACCCCGGGCAUGGCUCAAACCACAAUGCCAGGGCAGUAUAAAUUCAUCUCUUCUCCUCUUAGGUUUGGAUAUCAAAACCUCCCCAUCCUAGCUCAAACGUUUCGUCCCCUGCUCCGUUCUUUUGUUGCAGCGGACGCUGAGAUGAAAGAAACCGAAACAGCGGUGAGGGUGUUCGCCUGUGGGAUUCGUGGUUAGGCCAGCCACAAAAGUACUCGUCAAUCAUUACUUGAAGCAGAAAAGAAGAAUGAAUAGUAGUAGCCCGUUUCGCUCGUGUUUUCUCUUUGAAAAAUACGAGCAUAGGUCAUGCACGAAUAUCACCUAAAUGCCACUUCUUCGUGGCAUAGGUCCCUGAUCAGAUAAUCCGCUCUUGACCUUCCCAAGGAAUACAAGAUGAGAAGGCUGAUAAUUAGAUAGUUCCAAGGUGAUACUCAGAUAUGAGAAAAGCAAUUGUGAGAAGAUUAAGAUACCUUGAAGAAGUGGUUACAUUGUUGAAGAAAAUUUCAACAAAGGCAGUACGCUUAUUGUGGAGUACAAUGAGCUUUGCAUUAGAAAUUAAAUUUUACUUUUCUAUCUGUAUUCUCCAAAUUAGUUCAUAGCUAUUGCACUUUAAUUAUCAGAACAGCAUCGACUAAUUCAACAGUGUAGUAUAAUGAGUAUCUUCUCUCUUGUGGGGAUGCUUAUGAAAGAAUACAAGUAUCUCAUUAAGAGUUCUCAGCUCAAGGACUUGGUCAUAUGAAGACCUGUUCUCAGCUCAAGAAUAUACAGUAGAAAAAGUCAGACUCAACCUUAAGUUUGAAGAUUAGUUGUAUUUCCAGUUCUCCCUUUUAGCAUUAUCUUAUGUUCUUAUGUAUCUAUUUUUUGAUGUAAUUCUACGAUGGAAUCAUUCAUGCUACUUUUUCAUUUUCUUUUGGCCUAGAAUCUGUAAUGCCAGUUGAUGAUGAUAUUUCAAGAAAGCUCAAAAGUGAAUAAAGAAAUAUGAUUUUUGCUGCUGAAA